rnacentral:rRNA from 1 species
CCUACGGGUGGCAGCAGUGAGGAAUAUUGGUCAAUGGUCGGGAGACUGAACCAGCCAAGUCGCGUGAGUGAUGAAGGAUCUAUGGUUUGUAAACUUCUUUUAUAUGGGAAUAAAAUGGGGGACGCGUCCCGUCUCGCAUGUACCAUAUGAAUAAGGAUCGGCUAACUCCGUGCCAGCAGCCGCGGUAAUACGGAGGAUCCGAGGGUUAUCCGGAUUUGUUGGGUUUAAAGGGUGCGUAGGCGGCUUUUUAAGUCAGCUGUGAAAGUCUGUGGCGCAACCGUAAAAUUGCAGUUGAAACUGGGAGGCUUGAGUAUAGUAGAGGCAGGCGGAAGGCGUGGUGUAGCGGUGAAAUGCAUAGAUAUCACGAAGAACUCCGAUUGCGAAGGCAGCUCACCGGAC